rnacentral:lncRNA from 1 species
AAAAAAAAAAAAAGGCAGGGAACUGCCCCGCGGAUGGUGGUGCGGGAGCAGAGGGGCCGGCACGGAGCGCAGGACGGGCAGAGACACGGGGCCCCCUCACCGUGUGGAACACUGGGCCUCACAUAAACCAGGCAGGAGAGAUGUUUCCAAGAUGGGAUCAUUUCACACCAGAACUCAUAUACUGAAACCCUAAUUAAUAUUGAAAAGUCUGUGCUCUGCCAUGUCCUCAGAUCCAUGGAAUUGGG